rnacentral:rRNA from 1 species
CCUACGGGCGGCUGCAGUGGGGAAUAUUGGGCCAUGGAGGCCACUCUGACCCCGCAACGCCGCGUGAAUGAUGAAGGUCUUCGGAUUGUAAAGUUCUGUGAUGGGGGAUGAACACAAUGACGGUACCCCACUAGCAAGCCACGGCUAACUACGUGCCAGCAGCCGCGGUAAUACGUAGGUGGCAAGCGUUAUCCGGAAUGACUGGGCGGAAAGGGUGCGUAGGUGGUUUAGUAAGUUGGCGGUGUAAUUCCGGGGCUCAACCUCGGCGCUACCGCCAAAACUAUUAGACUAGAGUGCAGGAGGGGUAAGUGGAAUUCCUAGUGUAGCGGUGGAAUGCGUAGAGAUUAGGAGGAACAUCAGGGGCGAAGGCGACUUACGGGACUGUAACUGACACUGAGGCACGAAAGCGUGGGGAGCAAACAGGAUUAGAUACCCGAGUAGUC